UUGCAUGUCAAACUGCAUCUGAUUGGUCCUCUGGGCGUGAGAGUGCAGUGCAUUGACCAGUCGUUUUGCAGCGCUGCGCUGACUCAUUCCUGCCCCGAGCUGAGAGCGCUCAAAGUCCAGAUUGCCGAGACCAUCUGAUCUCAGCAGGUUGGGCUGUGACUGGAUCUCCUGGACAGCAUACAGCUCCUUCAGACUGAACUCCUCCCCUCUGGAACGAUCUUCAUGUGACCCUCCUGAUCCUUGAGCUGAUUUGGACUUCUGACCUACACGUUAAAUAGAAAUAACACCUUAUUGCUCUGUUAUGUCAAAACAAAAUAUAUCACUGCCUUGCAAGA